rnacentral:rRNA from 1 species
UACGAAGGGGGCUAGCGUUGCUCGGAAUCACUGGGCGUAAAGGGUGCGUAGGCGGGUCUUUUAAGUCAGAGGUGAAAUCCUGGAGCUCAAACUCCAGAACUGCCUUUGAUACUGAGGAUCUUGAGUUCGGGAGAGGUGAGUGGAACUGCAGUGUAGAGGUGAAAUUCGUAGAUAUUCGCAAGAACACCAGUGGCGAAAGGCGGCUCACUGGCCCGAUACUGACGCUGAGG